GAUGAAGAACGUAGCGAAAUGCGAUAAGUAAUGUGAAUUGCAGAAUUCAGUGAAUCAUCGAGUCUUUGAACGCACAUUGCGCCCCCUGGUAUUCCGGGGGGCAUGCCUGUCCGAGCGUCAUUGCCGCCCUCAAGCACGGCUUGUGUGUUGGGCCCCCGCCCCCCGGCUUCGGGGGGCGGGCCCGAAAGGCAGCGGCGGCACCGCGUCCGGUCCUCGAGCGUAUGGGGCUUCGUCACCCGCUCUGUAGGCCCGGCCGGCGCCCGCCGGCGACCCCAAUCAAUCUUUCCAGGUUGACCUCGGAUCAGGUAGGGACACCCGCUGAACUUAAGCAUAUCAAUAAGCGGAGGA
rnacentral:misc_RNA from 1 species